rnacentral:lncRNA from 1 species
CUGCGCAGCUAAGUCGAUCUGAACUUCAGGAGGAGCAAGAGCAGGAGAUUCCACGAAGUGCAAGUUCACGUCACCAGCCAACUUUCUGGCAAGGUACAGGUAUGGCUUCUCGAAGUUAUAGUUCGAUUUAGCGGAAAUCUCGUAGUAUUGGAGGUUCUUCUUCCUGUGGAACGUCACCUGCUUAGCCUUCACCUGCCUGUUCUUCACAUCCACCUUGUUUCCGCACAACACGAUGGGAAUGUUCUCACACACUCUGCACAGAUCUCUAUGCCAUGUGGGCACGUUCUUGUAGGUCAGCCUUGCAGUCACAUCGAACAUGAUAAUAGCACAUUGCCCAUGGAUGUAAUACCCAUCACGCAGACCUCCAAACUUCUCCUGUCCGGCGGUAUCCC